GUCCACGCCGUAAACGAUGGGCACUAGGUGUGGGAGGUGUCGACUCCUUCCGUGCCGAAGCUAACGCAUUAAGUGCCCCGCCUGGGGAGUACGGCCGCAAGGCUAAAACUCAAAGGAAUUGACGGGGGCCCGCACAAGCAGCGGAGCAUGUGGUUUAAUUCGACGCAACGCGAAGAACCUUACCCGGGCUUGACAUGUUUCUGACCGCUCUGGAAACAGGGCUUCCCUUCGGGGCAGAUUCACAGGUGGUGCAUGGCUGUCGU
rnacentral:rRNA from 1 species